rnacentral:rRNA from 1 species
AUUGAACGCUGGCGGCAGGCCUAACACAUGCAAGUCGAACGAGUGGCGGAUGGGUGAGUAAUGUCUGGGAAACUGCCAGAUGGAGGGGGAUAACUACUGGAAACGGUAGCUAAUACCGCAUACCAUCGGAGGUGCCCAGAUGGGAUUAGCUAGUAGGUGGGGUAACGGCUCUCCUAGGCGACGAUCCCUAGAUGGUCUGAGUGGAUGACCAGGCACACUGGAACGGAGACACGGUCCAAACUCCUACGGGAGGCAGCAGUGGGGAAUAUUGCACAAUGGGCGCAAGCCUGAUGCAGCCAUGCCGCGUGUAUGAAGAAGGCCUUCGGGUUGUAAAGUACUUUCAGCGAGGAGGCGUUACUCGCAGAAGAAGCACCGGCUAACUCCGUGCCAGGAGCCGCGGUAAUAC